UUCCAACUGUGUAUUUGCUUCUGGUAUUUCUGGUAUUUCGGUAAUUGAUUUUCCAUAUUUCUGGAAAAUGUUUUGUUAAUUUCUGUAAUUUCUGUAAAUACCGUGUAAAUAAUUUCCUCACAAUUCUAAAAAGAAAAGGCCCGCGGUAAUUUUUUCUUCGCUCUCUCUCCUCUCAGUCUCUCCUCUCUUUCGUUGAUUUUAUUCUUCAUCCACUGGAUCUUCAUCUCUCUCCUCUCAACUCCAAUUAUCCGAUGUGUAGCAAAUAUUUUUAAGGAGGUGAAGAUUUCUUUCUAGUGUCACAGUCAAAUCAAAUUGCUCACCACUUCAUAAAGGACAGUUUCAAGCCUUCAAGGAGGUGGAAGUCUUGAAUGUUGAACGUAAACAAGUAUCUAAAUUAUUUUCUUAGCUGCUGCCUUGAACCUUAAGUUGUGUUUUUCCCUUUUAAUUUUAAAAGUAUGUUAUUGGUGUUAUUACAUUGUUUGGACUUGUCUUAGGGCCAAAGAGUUCUGGGGUUGUGUUCGAUUUCUUCCUCCCUUCCAAUGCUCAAUUUCUCUCAGUCUUCGUUCAGAAUAUUCCACCCGCGGGAGCGAGACAUCCCUAAUUCUUCUCUUGAAGUUAACGUUCACGGUUCCUUUUGCCAUGGAUCAAAGGAAGUUAGCUGAGCAGGUAUUUGCUAUUUUACAGUGAUUGGAAGCUUUUCUAUGAAAUACUUUACUUGGGAUCUCCUGGAAACCAAAUUUCUUUACCAAUGGGGAUAUAUCAACAAUCACCCAGUAGGGCAAAGUAGAUUGCAUACCAUUCUACUUAAGGCUCCGUUUGGUUGGGUGUAAAACAUUUUCAGUGUAAAACAUUUUCAGUGUAAAAUGAAUUUCGUGGAAAACAAGUUACAACGGAAAACACAAUUUCAAAAUUAGUUUUCCGUUGUUUGGUUCCAUGUAAGAAAAAUAAAGUAACAAAAGGAAAAUGAAAGGGAAAGUAAGCAAGUAGUGAGAAGAGUAUACAAGAGAGGUAAGGCAAAAGGAAGGAAAACAGUUUUCCCUUCAUUUUUGAAGGGAAAAUGGGUUUCCAUCAUUGGGAGAACAAUUUUACUCCUAGGAAAAAUGGUUUUACAUUCCUUUGCAAACCAAACAACGUAAAAUUGAAAAUAGAGGAAAAUCGUUUUCCCGGAAAAUGUUUUACGCCAUACCAAACGGAGCCUAAAUGCACGGAGUUGCUCCCCACUCUUUCACGAAAAGUAUUCGGUUUGAAGACCGGAAUACUAAUCCCUACUACAGAUGCCGUUGCAAGGAUGUUGAGUUUUUGUAAUCGGUUUUGUGUUUUGCUUACCCCACCCCCAGAAUGUAAAAUAGAUAAUUUUUUUAGAAUCUUAUUGAUAGGAGUCUUAGUGUUUCGCCAAACUUGAACGGCGUUCUGGUCUGGUUUUAAUUAAUACCUUGAGUUUCAAACUCUGCAGCGCAAUUUAUUUGAUUACAAAUCAAUCCCAGAAGUUUUGAUUGUAACCAAUUAUUAUGGCUUAAUCGUAUUCAUAGCUAUUGAGUAUUGA